UUGUGUGAAUACAUAGCACAUUCGAGGUAGACGCAGAGAACUGAAACAUCUAAGUACCUGCAGGAAGAGAAAGAAAAUUCGAUUCCCUGAGUAGCGGCGAGCGAAACGGGAAAAGCCCAAACCAACAAGCUUGCUUGUUGGGGUUGUAGGACUCCAAUAUGGUCGUUCUUUCAGAUAGUCGAAUGACUUGGAAAAGUCAGUCAAAGAGGGUAAAAACCCCGUAGACGAAAUGUGGAAGACACCUAGGAGGAUCCUGAGUACGGCGGAACACGAGAAAUUCCGUCGGAAUCCGGGAGGACCAUCUCCCAAGGCUAAAUACUCCCUAGUGACCGAUAGUGAACCAGUACCGUGAGGGAAAGGUGAAAAGCACCCCGGAAGGGGAGUGAAAUAGAACCUGAAACCGUGUGCCUACAACAAGUCAAAGCCCGUUAAUGGGUGAUGGCGUGCCUUUUGUAGAAUGAACCGGCGAGUUACGAUUGCAUGCGAGGUUAAGUUGAAGAGACGGAGCCGCAGCGAAAGCGAGUCUGAAUAGGGCGUUUGAGUAUGUAGUCGUAGACCCGAAACCAUGUGAUCUACCCAUGUCCAGGUUGAAGGUGCGGUAAAACGCACUGGAGGACCGAACCCACGUACGUUGAAAAGUGCGGGGAUGAGGUGUGGGUAGCGGAGAAAUUCCAAACGAACUUGGAGAUAGCUGGUUCUCUCCGAAAUAGCUUUAGGGCUAGCCUCGGAAUUGAGAAUGAUGGAGGUAGAGCACUGUUUGGACUAGGGGCCCAUCUCGGGUUACCGAAUUCAGAU
rnacentral:rRNA from 1 species